rnacentral:rRNA from 1 species
GAGCGACGCCGCGAACGAUGAAGGCAGAAAUGUUGUAAAGUUCUUUUAUACGGGAAGAAUAAGAUAGAUGAGAGAAACGUCUGUUGAUGACGGUACCGUAUGAAUAAGUCACGGCUAACUACGUGCCAGCAGCCGCGGUAAUACGUAGGUGACAAGCGUUAUUCGGAAUUAUUGGGCGUAAAGGGCAUGUAGGCGGUUUGAUAAGUGUGAAUUGAAAGACCGGAGCUUAACUCCGCGUUUGGUUUGCAAACUGUCAAGCUAGAGUACAGAAGGGGAAACUGGAAUUCCACGUGUAGGGGUGAAAUCUGUAGAUAUGUGGAAGAAUACUUGUGGCGAAGGCGAGUUUCUGGUCUGUAACUGACGCUGAAAUGCGAAAGUGCAGGGAGCAAACAGGAUUAGAUACCCUGGUAGUCCGCACUGUAAACGUUGUACACUAGGUGUCAUGGGUAUAAACUCCUGUGGUGCCGUAGCUAACGCGAUAAGUGUACCGCCUGGGGAGUAUGCUCGCAAGGGUGAAACUCAAAGGAAUUGACGGGGGCCCGCACAAGCGGUGGAGCAUGUGGUUUAAUUCGAUGGUACGCGAAGAACCUUACCAGGGUUUGACAUACAUUUGACAGAGGCAGAGAUGUUCCUUUCUCUUCGGAGACAGAUGUACAGGUGCUGCAUGGCUGUCGUCAGCUCGUGUUGUGAGAUGUUGGGUUAAGUCCCGCAACGAGCGCAACCCCUACUAUUAGUUGCCAACAGGUAAUGCUUGGGCACUCUAAUGGAACUGCCGAUGACAAAUCGGAGGAAGGUGGGGAUGACGUCAAGUCCUCAUGGCCCUUAUAUCCUGGGCUACACACGUGCUACAAUGGGCUAUACAAAGGGUAGCGAUAUCGCGAGAUGGAGCCAAUCCCAAAAAGUAGUCCGUAGUUCAGAUUGGAGUCUGCAACUCGACUCCAUGAAGCCGGAAUCGCUAGUAAUCACAGAUCAGCACGCUGUGGUGAAUACGUUCCCGGGCCUUGUACACACCGCCCGUCACACCACCCGAGUUGAGGAUACCCGAAGUUAUUACCCUAACCGUAAGGAGGGGGAUACCUAAGGUAUGCUUAGUGAGGGGGGUGAAGUCGUAACAAGGUAACCGUACCGGAAGGUG